AUCUGGCUGACGAGUCCUGAAUAGGACGAAACGCGCGUCCUGCAU
rnacentral:hammerhead_ribozyme from 1 species